GACGAACGCUGGCGGCGUGCCUAAUACAUGCAAGUUGAGCGCUGAAGGUUGGUACUUGUACCGACUGGAUGAGCAGCGAACGGGUGAGUAACGCGUGGGGAAUCUGCCUUUGAGCGGGGGACAACAUUUGGAAACGAAUGCUAAUACCGCAUAAAAACUUUAAACACAAGUUUUAAGUUUGAAAGAUGCAGUUGCAUCACUCAAAGAUGAUCCCACGUUGUAUUAGCUAGUUGGUGAGGUAAAGGCUCACCAAGGCGAUGAUACAUAGCCGACCUGAGAGGGUGAUCGGCCACAUUGGGACUGAGACACGGCCCAAACUCCUACGGGAGGCAGCAGUAGGGAAUCUUCGGCAAUGGACGAAAGUCUGACCGAGCAACGCCGCGUGAGUGAAGAAGGUUUUCGGAUCGUAAAACUCUGUUGGUAGAGAAGAACGUUGGUGAGAGUGGAAAGCUCAUCAAGUGACGGUAACUACCCAGAAAGGGACGGCUAACUACGUG
rnacentral:rRNA from 1 species